GCGCGAAAACUUCACACUGUGCGAAAGCACGAUGAGGGAAUCCCAAGUGCUGGCUCGUAAGAGUCAGCUGUUUUUCUGUCUAGAAAACAGAGAGAGUAAGAGCUGGGUAAGACGGGUGCCAGCCGCCGCGGUAAUACCUGCAGCUCAAGUGGUGGCCGCUAUUAUUGGGCCUAAAACGUUCGUAGCCGGUCUAGUAAAUGCCUGGGUAAAUCAUACGGCUUAACCGUACGAAUUCCGGGUAGACUGCUGGACUUGGGACUGGGAGAGGCUAGAGGUACUCCUGGGGUAGAGGUGAAAUUCUGUAAUCCUAGGGGGACGACCAGUGGCGAAGGCGUCUAGCUAGAACAGGUCUGACGGUGAGGAACGAAGCCCUGGGGCGCAAACGGGAUUAGAUACCCCCGUAGUCCCUGAGCGGGCUGGCAAGGCGCAU
rnacentral:rRNA from 1 species